rnacentral:lncRNA from 1 species
AAUCAUGACUGAUUUUUUUAUUUUUUAAAAAAUGACUUUUAAGUCAGUACUGGCCUACAUUGUGCUAUAUUGUGACUCUCUGUGUAUACUAAAGUUUAAAAGACUCCUUUAAAUCUGACAAACUUAUAGAUCUAAUUAUACUGUUAUAGAUGUUUUUUAAAAAGAUUAACCAUUUAAUAAAUCUUUCAUGAACCUCGUAUUAAAAUACCUACUUAGAUUCUCCAAAAUGUCUACCUGAAAAGGGCGAGAGCUGGGGACAUUAAAGAGUUCAGGUCUCUUGAGUGGUUUCCAAUAAUCUGUUGGUUGUUUUAUUUAGAGUCUUUCUCCCCCACCCCAACCCCCAAAAGGAUGAUUUCCUAAUGAUUUCUUCUUGUUUUUUUGAGACAUAGUCUCACUAUGUAGUCCUGGCUGGCCUAGAACUCAUAGAAAUCCAUCUGCCUCUGCAUCCUGGAUGCUGGGAUUAAAUGUGUACACCACUACAACCAACCCACCUAACAUUUCUAAUAUCAAACUCCAAUUACAAAUAUUUUUUUUUCUUUUCUUUUUUUCGGAGCUGGGGACCGAACCCAGGGUCUUGCGCUCGCUAGGCAAGCGCUCUACCACUGAGCUAAAUCCCCAACCCCAAUUACAAAUAUUUUUAAUGAUCAUAGGAUCGAAGGGGCCAAAGCUGUAUGCAUGUAUAAUUCUGAGAGCUCAAUAUUGUAGUUCUUUUAUUCACAUGACCCUUUAAGCAGCCAGCCUGACUGGAAUCAAUUAGCCAGCUUGGCACAGUAUAAAAAGAGAAACAUAAAACUAAUUUUCCUUCUAAGUCUUCCAAUCAGAAGUUACGUCCACAGGACCCUAAGACAAUCAAAGCCCUUUUAGGGGCCUUCUGCUCUGCUCUGCUCUAAUCUGCUCUGCUCUGCUCUGCUCUUUUAGUACUUG